ACAAGGUUUCCGUAGGUGAACCUGCGGAAGGAUCAUUACCGAGUGAGGGCCCUCUGGGUCCAACCUCCCACCCGUGUUUAUCGUACCUUGUUGCUUCGGCGGGCCCGCUUCACGGCCGCCGGGGGGCACCUGCCCCCGGGCCCGCGCCCGCCGAAGACAUCAUUGAACUCUGUCUGAAGAUUGCAGUCUGAGUAGAUUAGCUAAAUCAGUUAAAACUUUCAACAACGGAUCUCUUGGUUCCGGCAUCGAUGAAGAACGCAGCGAAAUGCGAUAAGUAAUGUGAAUUGCAGAAUUCAGUGAAUCAUCGAGUCUUUGAACGCACAUUGCGCCCCCUGGUAUUCCGGGGGGCAUGCCUGUCCGAGCGUCAUUGCUGCCCUCAAGCACGGCUUGUGUGUUGGGCCUCCGCCCCCCGGUUCCGGGGGGCGGGCCCGAAAGGCAGCGGCGGCACCGCGUCCGGUCCUCGAGCGUAUGGGGCUUCGUCACCCGCUCUGUAGGCCCGGCCGGCGCCCGCCGGCGACCCCAAUCAAUCUUUCCAGGUUGACCUCGGAUCAGGUAGGGAUACCCGCUGAACUUAAGCAU
rnacentral:rRNA from 1 species